AUAGACAUAAUGGAGAAAACACCUAGUUGUUGGACGUUCUUAAUAGGGAACCUAUCUACAAAGAGCAUGCUAGGUGACUUUAAUUCAAGGGUCUUUGCUAAUGGGAACCUCCCAAAAGAGACAUUAUUACUGAUGGAUGGAGGGUUCCUCAAUUUUCGUAGGGGAAUUGGAUAGAGAAUUGAAGAAGUCAUGCUGAGACUAUAAAACAAGCGCUUAUUGGGAGGCAAC
rnacentral:lncRNA from 1 species